rnacentral:rRNA from 1 species
UUCGCCCUUAGAGUUUGAUCCUGGCUCAGGACGAACGCUGGCGGCGUGCUUAACACAUGCAAGUCGAACGGGGUUAAUGUUUUCGGAUAUUAACUUAGUGGCGAACGGGUGAGUAACGCGUGAGGAACCUGCCUUUCAGUGGGGGACAACAGUUGGAAACGACUGCUAAUACCGCAUGAUACUAUUGAGGGACAUCCCUUGAUAGUCAAAGCUUUAUGUGCUGAAAGAUGGCCUCGCGUCUGAUUAGCUAGUUGGAGGGGUAACGGCCCACCAAGGCGACGAUCAGUAGCCGGACUGAGAGGUUGACCGGCCACAUUGGGACUGAGAUACGGCCCAGACUCCUACGGGAGGCAGCAGUGGGGAAUAUUGGGUAAUGGGCGCAAGCCUGACCCAGCAACGCCGCGUGAAGGAAGAAGGCUUUCGGGUUGUAAACUUCUUUUAGCAGGGACGAAGAACGUGACGGUACCUGCAGAAAAAGCAACGGCUAACUACGUGCCAGCAGCCGCGGUAAUACGUAGGUUGCAAGCGUUGUCCGGAAUUACUGGGUGUAAAGGGCGUGUAGGCGGAGAUGCAAGUUGGGAGUGAAAUCCAUGGGCUCAACCCAUGAACUGCUUUCAAAACUGCAUCCCUUGAGUAUCGGAGAGGCAAGCGGAAUUCCUAGUGUAGCGGUGAAAUGCGUAGAUAUUAGGAGGAACACCAGUGGCGAAGGCGGCUUGCUGGACGACAACUGACGCUGAGGCGCGAAAGCGUGGGGAGCAAACAGGAUUAGAUACCCUGGUAGUCCACGCCGUAAACGAUGAGCACUAGGUGUCGGGGCCGCAAGGUUUCGGUGCCGCAGUUAACGCAUUAAGUGCUCCGCCUGGGGAGUACGCACGCAAGUGUGAAACUCAAAGGAAUUGACGGGGACCCGCACAAGCAGCGGAGCAUGUGGUUUAAUUCGAAGCAACGCGAAGAACCUUACCAGGGCUUGACAUCCUUCUGACCGGAACUUAACCGUUGCUUUCUUCGGACAGAAGUGACAGGUGGUGCAUGGUUGUCGUCAGCUCGUGUCGUGAGAUGUUGGGUUAAGUCCCGCAACGAGCGCAACCCUUGUCGUUAGUUACUAACAUUCAGUUGAGGACUCUAAUGAGACUGCCGUGGAUAACACGGAGGAAGGUGGGGAUGACGUCAAAUCAUCAUGCCCCUUAUGUCCUGGGCUACACACGUGCUACAAUGGUCGGUACAAAGAGACGCGAGACAGUGAUGUGGAGCAAAUCUCAAAAGCCGAUCCCAGUUCGGAUUGCAGGCUGCAACUCGCCUGCAUGAAGUCGGAGUUGCUAGUAAUCGUGGAUCAGAAUGCCACGGUGAAUGCGUUCCCGGGUCUUGCACACACCGCCCGUCA